AGAAUGAAAAUUACACAGUUUUAAACAAGGAGGUUUAUGGAAUAACGAUGAGGGCUAAUAUCUCCAACCUUACGGACAAUAUUGACAUGUACUUUAGACGUAGUGAUAAGGUCAAUAAGCCGUCCUGCAGUUCUUGGAAUGGCAAAGGAGAACUUAAUUGGACGACGUCCGGCUGUGACACAGAAAUCGACAACACCACCAUAAAGUGCUCCUGCUCACAUCUGAC